GAGUUGGGGGAGAGGACCAGAACCACCUGCUGGAGAAGGGGAGCUACGGGGGCCGGGCAGGGUCCAAACGCCUCACGUAGGCGGCGGCGCCACGGUCUUCGGGGUCACAGGGAAGAGAAGGGCUCUCCUCAAGCGGGUGGAAGGAGGGAGGCCUCCCGAGGGAGUGAGACUCUAGGCCACUCCCCCGCAGCAAGGCAGGAUCACCUGCGACGCGGAGAGCGGUUAGAGGGCCCUGGAGUGGAAAAGGGCAGUGGGACCUGGUAGCUUGGGUUCCCUGCAACUUGGGGUUCGACCUCCAGGCAAUGAAGUAGGGAUGGUCCUGCAAGUCAAGAUUCCAGUAGCAAGAGUGCAUCAGAUCUCUGUAAGGAAAAUAACUAACAUUGCUCAGUUCCCUGUAGAGUUGCAGGGCGCUUUAACGUUAUCUCCCUUGGUUCUCCAUCAGGUCGUAGUGGACUAAUUUUACAGGCGAAGUUAAGUGACUUACCCAAAACCUCACAGCUAAUAAACGGCAGAGCCGGCACCCAGCUGUACUGGCUUCCAAUUCUGUUAGCUUACCAGCGCAUCACAUUAUCUCCAUAAAUCCCCAUGAUUCAACUAAUAUUAGACGCCCCACAGGUAAGAUGCUUCAGAGUUAGAGGGGAGUUGAAGAUACCUUUGCCUUCAAAGAAGUAAGGAAUAAAACAAAGAUAAAACAGACAAUAAAAGACAAACCAUGAUAGGUGCCACGUGAAAAGUGGCAGAGUACUGCCGGGAAUCAAAGAACCGUGUAUAUCUGUCUUGGGGAUAAGGAAAGAAAGGCAGCAUGAAGGAGUAGGCAUUUGGGAUUGACCUUGAAGGAGACAGGGAGAGUUUUACAGCAAGCAGGGAUAGCAUGAGAAUAUAUAUGAAGGCGAAUCAGUGAAAGUUGUGUUGGGGAAAGAGCAAAGACUCCAGGGUAUGUUGAGAGGUAGAAAAGACAAAGGAGUAUGGGGCCUAAGAUACCAAAUGGAUGAAUUUAUAUUUAAUUCAGUAUUUUGAGUUUUUAUGGUUCAGAAGUUUGGGGGAAGAAAAGGAAGGUUUUUUUUUUUCUUUGUGCUAGUGAUUUAUCUGUGAGGGGAAGCAGAAAUCAGAGGUGGAAAAACGGACAGAUCUACUGUAGGCCAGGUAAAAAUGAUGAGUCUGACCUAAAGGGACAGCUAGGGGAAUUUAAAAGAGCAUAGUUGAGAGAUGAUGUGCAUGCAGUAUCUAUAGAAUUUGGCAACUGAUUGAUUAAUUGUGGGUAGGAAGAGAGAAAUCAAAGAAAGUGGAGGUUUUGAGUUUGUAGAUAAUUGCAAGAGAGAAAAGAGACAAUUACAAAGGAGAGGGAGCUACUUCUUGAGAGAUCAGUUUAGAUUUGGACAUUUUAAGAAUUCAAAGGGUUGUCAAGACAGCCAGAGAGACAUGGACACUAAUAAGUUAGAAAUAAAGGUUUUGUAAUAUGGGAAAGAGGACUGAACUAGAAAAUAGACUCAUAAAUAAUCAGCCUAGGAGUGAUAUUGCUGUGAGAUAAAAGAAGAAAACAAAGGUCAGAAUCUUGGAAAACACCCUCUUUAGAGUCUCGCUACUCAAAACGUGGUCAGUGGCCCAGCAGCACUGACAUGAGGAUGUUAGUUAGAAACUCAGAAUCUCAGGCUCCACCCCAGACCUGCUGAACCAGCAUCUUCAACUUAACAAGAACCCGAAGAGAUUUGUGUCACAUCAAAAAGUUUGAGAAGCUCUGAUCUAGGUGAGCCAAGCCAGCAAAGAAAGGGGAUGGAGCAGAAAAUGGGAGGAGAAUAGGGUAACGCAGAAUCAUCAAGACAAGGUAAAUUGGAGUUUCACAAAAACAGGGCUGGAAGGAGUGUUGCUCAACAAUAUCCAAAACCACAGAGGUUGAAAAGCACAAGGAAAGAAGGUAUGUUUGCACUUUGUGAUUAGGUAGUAGGGUCUUUGAGACCACAUUGUUCUUAUUGAAAGCCUGGGAAGAAAGAUCCCCUUUCUGGUCAAGUUUAGUCUAGGGAUCCAUCCCAUCUUCCCCAGUUCCCACGUGUAUGGGACAUGUCGAGAUAAGUAGAUAGAUUGGACAGUGGGAGAAAGUAGUUCUCUUCCAGUUGCUUCUAUUUUCUCAGCAAAGUGAGGAGCAAGAUCAUUUUGGCAGACUGCUAAUUGUCCAUCACAAUUUAGUCUCCCUUUCUCCCUGAAAACACAGACUGCUUUUCUCAGCCUCUCUUUCAGUUGCAUAUGGUCAAGUAUUAAGUUAUAGAACGUGAGCAGAUGUUAUGUCUGCCACUGUCAGGCCAAGGCGUUUACUUUGAGAGUACUUGUGCCUCUUUCAUGCAUUUUCCUUUCUGCCAGCUGGACCCUGGACACGGUGACUCUGAUUCAAUUAUGCAGAUGACCACAAACCUCUGGGGUUGGCAGAGCCACAAGAAAGAAGGUGCCUGGAUGAAGGAGAGCUACCCACUGACCUGGACACCCAAUUAUUCAUCUGUCUUAGAGCUAUUGGAAUCCUGGAUCAUUGUGGGAAAUGAAAGAUACUUCGAUGGAAUCAGCAGCCAUUGAUCCAAUGCCAACUCCAAGACUGGAACGUCGCAAUGAUAGUUCCAAGGCGGAAAUUUGACGUAAUUCUUUUCGACACAGUUUUACAGGCAUCUUGCAUGUGAAUAACUCACAACUUUAAUUCAUGGAACAAAUUGAGAAAUAGUCUUUUGGGGGUUUGGUACUCCCUGGAAACAUAAGAGUGCUUUGGGCACCUCUGGUGCCUUUCCAUGCCUGCCUUCUCUGCUGUUCUUGCUACUAGUGAAUUCUAAAUCAUGGCCAAGUGAUGCCAGCACUGGAUAAUAUUGGCUCUGCCCCAUAUCUCGAGGGAAAACUCUAGGACUUGGCAUUAUAUGUGUGGGAAUCUGGCCUUGGUUGGCACUCCCAGCAUGAUAGCGGGGUUCUCCUGUCUGAAUGUACUCUGGGGUGUGCGCCACAAUUUCUGUCAUCGAAAUGGAGAUGAGAGAAUAUGCCCUUGGUGGGGACACCCCACUGGAAUUAGAGUGAAGAGAUCAAAGCUAGAGGUUCUUAAAUCAAAGAAUAUCUAAUAGCAAAGACAAAAACUUGCUUAAGGGAAAUGCAUACAAGUACUAGACCUAAUAUGAUGAAAAAUGCCAACUUCAAUAUAUUGAUGCAUGCUUAGUACACUUUCAGUCCUGCAAAGACAAAGUUUUUUGUUGUUUUUUUUUUGAGACGGAGUCUCGCUCUGUCGCCCAGGUUGGAGUGC
rnacentral:lncRNA from 1 species